GAAUUCACUAGUGAUUCAGGCCUAACACAUGCAAGUCGAACGGCAGCAUGGAAGAGCUUGCUCUUCUGAUGGCGAGUGGCGAACGGGUGAGUAAAGCAUCUGAACGUACCGUGUAAUGGGGGAUAACGUAGCGAAAGUUACGCUAAUACCGCAUACGACCUGAGGGUGAAAGCAGGGGAUCGCAAGACCUUGCGUUAUACGAGCGGCCGAUGUCAGAUUAGCUAGUUGGUGAGGUAAAGGCUCACCAAGGCGACGAUCUGUAGCGGGUCUGAGAGGAUGAUCCGCCACACUGGGACUGAGACACGGCCCAGACUCCUACGGGAGGCAGCAGUGGGGAAUCUUGGGCAAUGGGGGCAACCCUGAUCCAGCCAAGGCGCGUGAGUGAAGAAGGCCUUCGGGUGUAAAGCUAAUGGGCCGGGAAGAAAUCGCACAGGCUAAUACUCUGUG
rnacentral:rRNA from 1 species